UCGAGCGCAUCGGCCCAACUGAUUGAAGAUGCUUGCAUCCGAUUGACGAUGGUUUACCGAUGAGCGGCGGACGGGUGAGUAACACGUAGGUAACCUGCCCAGAAGCGGGGGAUAACACCUGGAAACAGAUGCUAAUACCGCAUAGGUCAUUUGACCGCAUGGUCAAAUGAUUAAAGAUGGCUCUGCUAUCACUUCUGGAUGGACCUGCGGCGUAUUAGCUAGUUGGUAAGGUAACGGCUUACCAAGGCGAUGAUACGUAGCCGAGUUGAGAGACUGAUCGGCCACAUUGGGACUGAGACACGGCCCAGACUCCUACGGGAGGCAGCAGUAGGGAAUCUUCCACAAUGGACGCAAGUCUGAUGGAGCAACGCCGCGUGAGCGAAGAAGGUCUUCGGAUCGUAAAACUCUGUUGUUAGAGAAGAACACGGGUGAGAGUAACUGUUCACCUGUUGACGGUAUCU
rnacentral:rRNA from 2 species